CCUACGGGAGGCAGCAGUGAGGAAUAUUGGUCAAUGGACGAGAGUCUGAACCAGCCAAGUAGCGUGAAGGAUGACGGCCCUAUGGGUUGUAAACUUCUUUUAUAAAGGAAUAAAACGCGGCACGUGUGGCGUUUUGCGUGUACUUGAUGAAUAAGGAUCGGCUAACUCCGUGCCAGCAGCCGCGGUAAUACGGAGGAUUCGAGCGUUAUCCGGAUUUAUUGGGUUUAAAGGGAGCGUAGGUGGGAUGUUAAGUCAGUGGUGAAAGUUUGCGGCUCAACCGUAAAAGUGCAAUUGAUACUGGCAGUCUUGAGUACAGUUGAGGUAGGCGGAAUUCGUGGUGUAGCGGUGAAAUGCUUAGAUAUCACGAAGAACCCCGAUUGCGAAGGCAGCUUACUAAACUGUGACUGACAUUGAUGCUCGAAAGUGUGGGUAUCAAACAUGAUUAGAUACCCGAGUAGUC
rnacentral:rRNA from 1 species